CUUGCCGGGGGUGCUUACCAUGCAAGUCGAACGGUGAAAGCGGAGCUUGCUCUGCUGGAUCAGUGGCGAACGGGUGAGUAACACGUGAGCAAUCUGCCCUUGACUCUGGGAUAAGCGCUGGAAACGGCGUCUAAUACCGGAUACGAGCUGCGAAGGCAUCUUCAGCAGCUGGAAAGAACUUCGGUCAAGGAUGAGCUCGCGGCCUAUCAGCUUGUUGGUGAGGUAACGGCUCACCAAGGCGUCGACGGGUAGCCGGCCUGAGAGGGUGACCGGCCACACUGGGACUGAGACACGGCCCAGACUCCUACGGGAGGCAGCAGUGGGGAAUAUUGCACAAUGGGCGCAAGCCUGAUGCAGCAACGCCGCGUGAGGGACGACGGCCUUCGGGUUGUAAACCUCUUUUAGCAGGGAAGAAGCGAAAGUGACGGUACCUGCAGAAAAAGCACCGGCUAACUACGUGCCAGCAGCCGCGGUAAUACGUAGGGUGCAAGCGUUAUCCGGAAUUAUUGGGCGUAAGAGCUCGUAGGCGGUUUGUCGCGUCUGCUGUGAAAACUGGAGGCUCAACCUCCAGCCUGCAGUGGGUACGGGCAGACUAGAGUGCGGUAGGGGAGAUUGGAAUUCCUGGUGUAGCGGUGGAAUGCGCAGAUAUCAGGAGGAACACCGAUGGCGAAGGCAGAUCUCUGGGCCGUAACUGACGCUGAGGAGCGAAAGGGUGGGGAGCAAACAGGCUUAGAUACCCUGGUAGUCCACCCCGUAAACGUUGGGAACUAGUUGUGGGGUCCAUUCCACGGAUUCCGUGACGCAGCUAACGCAUUAAGUUCCCCGCCUGGGGAGUACGGCCGCAAGGCUAAAACUCAAAGGAAUUGACGGGGACCCGCACAAGCGGCGGAGCAUGCGGAUUAAUUCGAUGCAACGCGAAGAACCUUACCAAGGCUUGACAUAUACGAGAACGGGCCAGAAAUGGUCAACUCUUUGGACACUCGUAAACAGGUGGUGCAUGGUUGUCGUCAGCUCGUGUCGUGAGAUGUUGGGUUAAGUCCCGCAACGAGCGCAACCCUCGUUCUAUGUUGCCAGCACGUAAUGGUGGGAACUCAUGGAAUACUGCCGGGGUCAACUCGGAGGAAGGUGGGGAUGACAGAAAAU
rnacentral:rRNA from 1 species